AUUGAACGCUGGCGGCAUGCUUUACACAUGCAAGUCGAACGGCAGCAUGGAGAGCUUGCUCUCUGAUGGCGAGUGGCGAACGGGUGAGUAAUGCAUCGGAACGUACCGUGUAAUGGGGGAUAACGUAGCGAAAGUUACGCUAAUACCGCAUACGACCUGAGGGUGAAAGCAGGGGAUCGCAAGACCUUGCGUUAUACGAGCGGCCGAUGUCAGAUUAGCUAGUUGGUGAGGUAAAGGCUCACCAAGGCGACGAUCUGUAGCGGGUCUGAGAGGAUGAUCCGCCACACUGGGAUUGAGACACGGCCCAGACUCCUACGGGAGGCAGCAGUGGGGAAUUUUGGACAAUGGGGGCAACCCUGAUCCAGCCAUGCCGCGUGAGUGAAGAAGGCCUUCGGGUUGUAAAGCUCUUUCGGCCGGGAAGAAAUCGCACAGGCUAAUACUCUGUGUGGAUGACGGUACCGGCAUAAGAAGCACCGGCUAACUACGUGCCAGCAGCCGCGGUAA
rnacentral:rRNA from 1 species